GGACCCGCACAAGUAGUGGAGCAUGUGGUUUAAUUCGAAGAUACGCGAGGAACCUUACCAGGGCUUAAAUGUAAGUUGCAUAGAUCAGAGAUGGUCUUUUCUUCGGACUACUUACAAGGUGCUGCAUGGUUGUCGUCAGCUCGUGCCGUGAGGUGUCAGGUUAAGUCCUAUAACGAGCGCAACCCCUGUCGUUAGUUGCCAGCAAGUUAAGUUGGGCACUCUAGCGAGACUGCCGGUGCAAACCGCGAGGAAGGUGGGGAUGACGUCAAAUCAUCACGGCCCUUACGUCCUGGGCUACACACGUGCUACAAUGGCCGGUACAGAGAGCAGCCACUACGCGAGUAGGAGCGAAUCUAUAAAACCGGUCUCAGUUCGGAUCGCAGUCUGCAACUCGACUGCGUGAAGCUGGAAUCGCUAGUAAUCG
rnacentral:rRNA from 1 species